CCUACGGGAGGCAGCAGUGAGGAAUAUUGGUCAAUGGGCGCAAGCCUGAACCAGCCAAGUCGCGUGAGGGAAGACGGCCCUACGGGUUGUAAACCUCUUUUGCCGGGGAGCAAGCCUGAGCACGUGUGCCCAGGUGGAGAGUACCCGGAGAAAAAGCAUCGGCUAACCCGGUGCCAGCAGCCGCGGUAAUACGGAGGAUGCGAGCGUUACCGGGAUUUAUUGGGUUUAAAGGGUGCGCAGGCGGGCUGUUAGGCCGGCGGUAAAGAUUCAGGGCUAAACCCUGUGGAGCCGACGGAACUGGCAGCCUUGAGUGGGCGAGAGGGAGGCGGAAUGCGUGGUGUAGCGGUGAAAUGCAUAGAUAUCACGAAGAACGCCGAUUGCGAAGGCAGCAUACCGGCGCCCGACUGACGCUGAGGCACGAAAGCGUGGGGAUCGAACAGGAUUAGAUACCCCUGUAGUC
rnacentral:rRNA from 1 species